rnacentral:lncRNA from 1 species
CAUUAUAAAGGAAAUACUUUUCAUUUUUCAGGAUUAAGAAAGAUGUGGAUUAAGAAUGACUGUAGGGUUUCUUAUUGUGGCUCAGCAGGUUACAAAACUAACUAGUAUUCAUGAGGAUAUGGGCUCAAUCCCUAGCCUCACUCGGUCGGUUAAGGAUCCAGAGUUGCUGUGGCUGUGGUGUAGGCCGGCAGCUGCAGUGCCAAUUCAAUGCCUUGCCUGGGAACUUUCAUAUGCCACAGGUGCGCCAUAAAAAGAAAAAAAAAUAAUUGUAGAAUUUUUUUGUAUAGUCUUUACCAGGAUAUAUUCCUACUUUGCUAAAAGUAUUUUUUAAAUAUAUUAAUGUUGAACUUAAUCAGAAUUUUUGUGAACAUAUUGAAAUGACUACAUAGCUUUUCUUCUUUAACCUAAUCAUGUGGUUAUUACAUUAACAGAUUUUUAAAUGUCAAAGCAAAUUUGGAUUAUUCUUUUUUUUUUUUUUCAUUUGAAGGAUAUUUUCAUUUUCUUCUGGUUUCCACAGUACUACUGAGUAAUUAAGUCUUAGUGUUGUCCUCAUUUGAAGGUAAUGUCUCUUUUAUCCUGACUGCUUUUAAUAUUUUCUCUGUGUCUUCACUUUUUAGCAGGCUUGCUAUAAUAUGCCUUGAUAUAAUUUCUAUGGGUUUGUUCUUUUCCAGGUUCGCAGAACUUCUUACAUCUAUGGCUUGAUGUGCUGUUUUAGUUUAGGAAGUACUGUCAUUAUCUGUUCAAAUGUUACUUUUGUCCUAUUCUCUUACCUUCCUAGAGUUCGAUAGCAUAUAUGGUUAAUUUUUUUUUCACUGAUUCUCAGUUCUCUGUUUUUGUAUUUUUUAUCAUUUUAUCUCUGUGCUUCUAUUUGAGUAUUUUAUAUUAAAAGGCUUUUAGUUUAUUGUUUAUGUUCCAUCAAAUCUGUAGUUAAAUAAUUUCACUGCAGUGAUUCUCAGGGAAUCCAACAUGUGACAGAAAUAAAUACUGACAUUUUCAAACUUGUGAUAGAAAAAGAUUAAGCUAUAGCUAAAUGAGCUAUUUUAUUAAGAAAUCAGUUUUGAAAUUAGAAAAGGCAAUUUCAUUUCUGUCCAUGAAGAAAUAAACAAAUGGAAAGUAAUUAAACUUAAAAGCUUUUGUGCGGCAAAGGAAACCAUCACCAAAAUUAAAAGACAACCUAUAGUGAAUGGGUGAAAAUAUUUGCAAAUAAUACAACUCGUAAAGGGUUAAUAUCCAAAAUCUAUAAACAACUCACAUAACUCAAAAGCGAAAAAACAACCCAAUCAAAAAAUGGGAAGAGGCCUUAAACAGACAUCUUUCCAAAGAAAACAUGCAGUCAAUAGGCACAAGAAAAAAAAAAAUCACUCAUCAUCAGAGAAAUGCAAAUCAAAACCACAAUGAGAUAUCACCUCACACCUGUCAAAAUGCCUAUCAUCAAAAAUAUACAAAUAACAAAGGCUGGCGAAGAUGUGGACAAAAGAGAACUCUCAUACGCUGUUGCCAGGAAUGUAAACUGGUAUAGCCCUAGGGAAAACAAUAUAGAGGUUCUUCAAAAAACUAAAAAUAGAACUAUCAUGUGAUCCAGCAAUUCUACUGCUGGGCACCUAUCCAAAGAAAAUGAAAACACUAAUUUGAAAGGAUACAUACACCUCUGUAUUAACAGUAGCAUUAUUUACAAUAGGCAACAUAUGGAAGCACCUAAAUGCUCAUCAAUAGCUGAAUGGAUAAAGAAGAUGUGGGGUGUGUGUGUGUGUGUGUGUGUGUGUGUGUGAGUGUGUGUGAUGAAAUNAUGACUCAGGUUCGAUUCCUGGCCUUGCUCAGUGAGUUAAGGAUAUGGCAUUGGCACAAACUAUGUGGUGCAGGUCGCAGGCAUGGCUUGGAUCUCGCAUUGCUGUGGCUGUGGCUUAGGCCAGCAGCUACAGCUCUGAUCUGACCCCUAGCCUUGGAACCUCUAUAUGCCAUGGGUGCAGCCCUAAAAAGACAAAAAAAAAAAAAAA